GUGGGGAAUAUUGGACAAUGGGGGGAACCCUGAUCCAGCCAUGCCGCGUGUGUGAAGAAGGCCUUUUGGUUGUAAAGCACUUUAAGCGAGGAGGAGGCUACCGAGAUUAAUACUCUUGGAUAGUGGACGUUACUCGCAGAAUAAGCACCGGCUAACUCUGUGCCAGCAGCCGCGGUAAUACAGAGGGUGCAAGCGUUAAUCGGAUUUACUGGGCGUAAAGCGCGCGUAGGUGGCCAAUUAAGUCAAAUGUGAAAUCCCCGAGCUUAACUUGGGAAUUGCAUUCGAUACUGGUUGGCUAGAGUAUGGGAGAGGAUGGUAGAAUUCCAGGUGUAGCGGUGAAAUGCGUAGAGAUCUGGAGGAAUACCGAUGGCGAAGGCAGCCAUCUGGUCUAAUACUGACACUGAGGUGCGAAAGCAUGGGGAGCAAACAGGAUUAGAUACCCUUGUAGUCC
rnacentral:rRNA from 1 species